GUCUUCGCGAGCGAAGAUCCGGGGAAGGUCUUUACACCUUCCAGCCUGCGCAUUGGAUUUUUUAGGUGAGACACAGUGUGCGCGGAACUGAGCCCACCCUUUAAUCCUAAGGUUCAUCUGCCGGGGCCAAGCGAGCUUGGACGGUGGCAACGAGGUCCUUAGGACGUAGAUGGAUUGCCU